CUUUACUGUAACUUGAAAUUGAAAUUGGACUUUAGUUGCGCAGUAUAGGUGGGAGGUUUUGAGAAUCUUCUUGCGGGAAGAUUGGAGCCAUCAGUGAGAUACCACUCUUCUAAUGUUAGAUUUCUAACUUUGAAUCAUGAUCUGGUCAAAGAACAGUUUCAGGCGGGCAGUUUGACUGGGGCGGUCGCCUCCCAAAUGGUAACGGAGGCGUACAAAGGUUUCCUCUGAACGGGUAGAAAUCGUAUCUAGAGUGUAAAGGCAUAAGGAAGCUUGACUGUGAGACCUACAAGUCGAGCAGGGACGAAAGUCGGUCUUAGUGAUCUGACGGUGCUGAGUGGAAAGGCCGUCACUCAACGGAUAAAAGUUA
rnacentral:rRNA from 1 species